rnacentral:rRNA from 1 species
UACGUAGGGGGCGAGCGUUGUCCGGAUUUAUUGGGCGUAAAGCGCGGGCAGGCGGCCCGGUAAGUCGGCCGUGAAAGCGCCGGGCUCAACUCGGCGAGGACGGGCGAGACUGCGGGGCUGGAGCAAGGUAGAGGGCGGUGGAAUUCCGGGUGUAGUGGUGGAAUGCGUAGAUAUCGGAAGGAACAUCAGUGGCGAAAGCGGCUUCCUGGUCCAGCAUCGACGUUCAGGCACGAAAGCGUGGGGAGCAAACAGG